ensembl:snRNA U6 U6 spliceosomal RNA
GUGUUCACUGCGGCAGCACAUCUGCUAAAAUCAGAAAGAUCCAGAGAAAGUUUGCAUGGCCCCUGCACAAGGAUUACACACAAAAGCUUGGUAUGAAACCUGGACAG